UAGGGAAUUUUCGUCAAUGGGGGAAGCCCUGAACGAGCAAUGCCGCGUGUGUGAAGAAGGUCUUCGGAUCGUAAAGCACUGUUGUAAGUGAAGAAUGCCAUAUAGAGGAAAUGCUAUGUGGGUGACGGUAGCUUACCAGAAAGCCACGGCUAACUACGUGCCAGCAGCCGCGGUAAUACGUAGGUGGCAAGCGUUAUCCGGAAUCAUUGGGCGUAAAGGGUGCGUAGGUGGCACGAUAAGUCUGAAGUAAAAGGCAACAGCUCAACUGUUGUAUGCUUUGGAAACUGUCGAGCUAGAGUGCAGAAGGAGGCGAUCGGAAUUCCAUGUGUAGCAGGUAAAUGCGUAGAUAUAUGGAGGAACACCAGUGGCGAAGGCGGUCGCCUGGUCUGUAACUGACACUGAUGCACGAAAGCGUGGGGAGCAAAUAGGAUUAGAUACC
rnacentral:rRNA from 1 species